GUGCUCGCUUCUGCAGCAUAUAUAUUAAAAUUGGAAGGAUACAGAGAAGAUUAACACAGCCCCUGCACAAGGAUGGCAUGCAAAUUCGUGAAGUGUUCCAUAUUUUU